rnacentral:rRNA from 1 species
CUGCGCGGCCAAACAUGCAGUCGUACAGGGUAACCGUACUUGUACCUGGUGGCGAGCGGCGGACGGGUGAGUAAUGCCUAGGAAUCUGCCUGGUAGUGGGGGAUAACGCUCGGAAACGGACGCUAAUACCGCAUACGUCCUACGGGAGAAAGCAGGGGACCUUCGGGCCUUGCGCUAUCAGAUGAGCCUAGGUCGGAUUAGCUAGUUGGUGAGGUAACGGCUCACCAAGGCGACGAUCCGUAACUGGUCUGAGAGGAUGAUCAGUCACACUGGAACUGAGACACGGUCCAGACUCCUGCGGGAGGCAGCAGUGGGGAAUAUUGGACAAUGGGCGAAAGCCUGAUCCAGCCAUGCCGCGUGUGUGAAGAAGGUCUUCGGAUUGUAAAGCACUUUAAGUUGGGAGGAAGGGCAUUAACCUAAUACGUUAGUGUUUUGACGUUACCGACAGAAUAAGCACCGGCUAACUCUGUGCCAGCAGCCGCGGUAAUACAGAGGGUGCAAGCGUUAAUCGGAAUUACUGGGCGUAAAGCGCGCGUAGGUGGUUCGUUAAGUUGGAUGUGAAAUCCCCGGGCUCAACCUGGGAACUGCAUUCAAAACUGUCGAGCUAGAGUAUGGUAGAGGGUGGUGGAAUUUCCUGUGUAGCGGUGAAAUGCGUAAAUAUAGGAAGGAACACCAGUGGCGAACGCGACCACCCUGGACUAAUACUGACACUGAGGUGCGAAGCGUGGGCAGCAAACAGGAUAGAUACCCUGGUAGUCCACGCCGUAAACGAUGUCAACUAUCCUUUGGGAGCCUUGACUCUUAGUGCCGCACCUUACUAUCAGUUGACCACCUGGGAGUACGGCCGCAGGUUAAACUCAAUGA